ensembl:lncRNA
GUUUUGUGACGUCCGCCUCUUAGUCUCUUGCAUUUUGUAAUAAGCUGAUGAGGUGGCUAUGGCUGUGCUCCAUUUUACAGACGCACAGAAAGAGGAGCAGCUCCUGGCUGGCCAGGAAGUAGCCGAGCUGGCCUUGACGCACCAAGCUUCUCCCCUCUCAUGGGUGAGCACAGGAGGUAUGCGAUGGCUAUUUUGUUAACAUCAAUUUAGAGUCAGUCAAGUUGGAGAAGGAAAUGGCAACCCACUCCAGUGUUCUUGCCUGGAGAAUUCCAGGGACGGCGGAGCCUGGUGGGCUGCCGUCUAUGGGGUUGCACAGAGUUGGACACGACUGAAGUGACUUAGCAGCAGCUGCAGCAGAGCAGUCGAGAGCAAGCUAACAAACUCCUACCCAUUCUUUAAUUCUCCAGCUAAAUGGCACUUCCCCAAAGAACUCCCUCAUGGGAAACAGCCCUGGCUCCCCCACACCAUCCGCUGUUUUCGGAGUCCUUGGUAGCUUUCAUUCAGGGCACUUAUCACCAGCAUAGCUAUUUAUUAUCCGUUUGCUGUUUAUGCCAUGGUGCCGCCUUCUGCCUUUUCUGUUGCUGUCAUCACGGACCUCCCAGAUCUCCUGCUCAGGUGUUGGCACCGGGUGCCCCGAUCGCUUCCAUUUCCAGUCCUACCCACUCCUGGAUGCAUUCAACCUCGCAUGGGGGACACCUGUUCUUCUGCUCUCCAGCCCUUCCUCUCUGUCCACCUCAGGGGCUGCCCCUACCAGCUCGUGCUGCACCACAGUUGACCUGAAGCAGCUCCUCCUCAAAUGCAGGAGCUGCGCCAGCUCUGCCUGGCAUGCUCAUCCAGUCAUUCCACCUACAACCAUCCUGUAUGCUCACCCGUGCACUGCGCCUGCUCCAGAGGGCACCUCUCCCUCCUUCACGUCUUUCUCAUGGAUUACAGUCUACGGCCGACCAGCUGCUGCUGCUGCUGCUGCUAAGUCGCUUCAGUCGUGUCCGACUCUGUGCAACCCCAUAGACAGCAGCCCACCAGGCUUCCCUGUCCCUGGGAUUCUCCAGGCAAGAACACUGGAGUGGGCUGCCAUCUCCCUCUCCAAUGCAUGAAAGUGAGAAGUAAAAGUGAAGUCACUCAGUCGUGUCUGACUCUUAGCGACCCCAUGGACUGCAGCCUACCAGGCUCCUCCUUCCAUGGGAUUUUCCAGGCAAAAGUACUGGAGUGGGGUGCCAUUGCCUUCUCCGUUUUUCCAAAGCAUAAUAUAUUUAUUUCAAAGAAAUAUAGUAAGGUGAUUAAUAAGAAAUGCUCUUGUAGUAAAACUAUUACAUUGGGAUAAAAUUCUGUGGGGAGGAAGUAUAUGGA